UUCAAUGAUUAACUCGAACCAUUGCAUUUGGCACCUGAUGUCCUUAAAGGAGGCCUGGGCAUAAUCAGCAUGACUGCAGGUAAACCACAGAGCAGUUUGAUGUAUUCUGGCUCAAUUCUCGUCACCAUUAAAUUGCAGAAACAGCGGCUCCUGUUUCCUUAAUUGCACCAUCGCUUCGGAAGGGAUACAGACAACCGGAAAGUCACACCUGCUCACCACUUUGGCCAAAUUUGGUUUUGUGUUUUUUCCAUGCUGAGGGAGGCCGUUCCAUCACAAGAACUCCCAUGGAAUCCGACAGAAACCUUUACGGAAUCCCCGGACAUUCUCCAGCGCACGCAGCGCAGGAAUUCCUCGCACGUUUUCUUUUAACGACCAAGGACUUAGAUUGUUUGGAUUGUGUGUAAUAACGCAGUGACAUGAGUGUGUGGUUAGGCCUGAAGGGCAGCACCUCCUGACAGCCACUCACUGUCAACACACCGCAGUCAAGCUGACAGCAGAAAAAAAAAGAAACCUUUUUGGACAAACCUGUCCUUAAUAAAAAACAUUUUUACUAACUGUUUAAAUAUCCAUCAGAAAAGCUACAAGCCAAAGAAAUCAUCAGGUUGUUGAUUUAAGGAAAACGAAGUUGUUGGUUUCAAUAAAACUCUUUUGCAGUAAUAUUAACAUUUUUGUUUUAUAAUAUUUAACGAAACAGAACCACAUUGUUUUAUGAGAAAUGGACGGAAAAAGAAAACAUGCUCAAUGUCAGCUAGCUCUAAAAACUAUAAAGAUUAGUGAAUUCAUUGCAGUAAUUAUUAAGGCCAUACUAAUAAUUUAAAAAGGGAGAUAAUAAAAGUGAUAGAAACCACCUUUUACAGUGUGCUGUUAUCAAGUAUGAUAAUAUUAUUAUGAGCAAACACAUAAAUAUUACAGCCGUUCCAUUAUAAUUAGACGAAAUUAAAAUGCAGAAGCAAUGAUGCACCACAGAUGCUGCUGGGGCAGCAUCUAAACCCCAAAUGAACACCCUUCCACCACUGUGCUUUCAGGCAUUCUGUGUUCUUUGACACGUUGAAUUGGCAGAGACUUUACUCCGAAUCUCGAUUGGGAUACAGUCAUGAAUUAGACUAAAUUUGGUCUUAAAUCAGAUACUUUUGGGUCACAACUGCACCCCCAGUCUGUAUUCAGCUGCACGAGGGCCUCUUAAGUUGCAGGGCGUUGUGCACAUAAAAACAAUUGAAUGGAAACUUAUCCAGUACAGCUAUUGUUCAUUGUGUCAGGAAUGGAACAAAAAUAAUGACUAGUCUUUCGCUUUGCAUUUUCUCUGUACACUGCAAAAACAGAAACUCAGGAAAAAAUUAAAAACUGUAGUUUGAGGAGUCUUAUUUUCUAUCUUGCGAGAAAAAUAAUAUUACUAAGAAACUUUUUCAAUAGUAAAAUAAUCUUAUUUCAAGAAAAUAUGUCUUUGUGACCAGAUUUUUUUCUUAAAAUAAGAAUCCUUGGCUCUUUCCCCAUUGGCCAAUUUUUUUGCUUAUUUAUAGAAACGCUUUUGAAAUGUAAAGAAAGUUUUUGACUUAUUUCUUGUUGUUGUUUUUGCAUUGUAGAUUUUGAGUGAAGUGAAGCGUUUCGGCAGCAGAUUCCUGAAACAAUAGAACCAAAAUCAAAUCAAAUUUCUUCUGGUAUAAGAAUGUGUUGGAACACAAACAUCGGCUGUAUUCCGAAUAAAAGUAAUGUUUUCAUGCAGCAAAGCUUUAAAUCUGCUCUGCUUGAGUCUUCAGUAAAACCAAAUCUGUGCUUUUGUGUCCUUUUCUGAAUGUACGUGCAACAUUUUGUGCAUUGUACACUCAUGAAUAUUAGCUUUUAACAGCAAAUGGCGGCUUUUGGUUUUGGGAAUACAAAAUUUAGGUUGAAAUGACUUCUCUAAACAAAGGCAACAAUUGAAAAUGUUGUUACUGAGCAUUCUUGACUAAAGGAUUCCUGCUUCUCAGUUCAUCGCUAAAAAAGUUUUGUUUUAAACUUUUAUUUAAGUUGAAGUUAAAACUUUGUCCUUUUUUGUGGUUUAACACCAGGUUGGGCAGAAUUUGCCAAAUGCAAGUGCUUUUGAAUGCAGUUCCUGCUGCACUUGAAGAAAAUGUUUAAUGAUUUUAUCCCUCAAAUUCAAUUGUUAUGUCAAACAUGGAGGUUUUAAGCCUAUCUUAUAAUCUUUGAUAUCAUAAUUAUAAUGUCACUUUAAUGUUCAUAAAUGAAGAGAAAAACCCCAAA